UCGUCCAAGACUUAAAAUCCAAUAAUAGGAUUAAUGUCUCUAACCCAAAAUUAGAACCCAACAUAAUUUCCUUUUAAUUAAAACAAAGCCCAAAAUUAGGCCCACUAGUAAAAUGAUCCCAAACCAAAUUCACUUCUUUUCCUUCUCUUACGUGUUUGACUUCUCAAUACUUCCCAUUCUUAAUUUCUUUCUUCUUUCUAUGGAAGACACCAGAACUCCCUUCUCCAAAACUGCUCCCUUCCUCUUCUCUUGGCAGGACGUCGCCGGUCCUCGCCGCCUCCGUUGCGGUGAGAUCGGCCCCUCUCUUUUCCUCCUCUUUUUCCUACUUCUAACUCCCUAAAUUCUAAAAUUCAAUUCCUAAGUUUUCUGCCUCCCCUCUUCCCCCUGAAAUUCGCCCCUCCGGCGAGUUCCGCCGCCACUACCGCCGUCUCCGUCGCACCGCUACCCCUGCCUCAGAAAUCAAUGCUCUUCGGUGAACAUCGCUGGCGGAAGGCGUCACCGGCUCGACAAGGCAGCCUUGGUUUCACUGUGGCUAUUCGAAUUUCAUCUGUUCUUUUUUUUCUUUUUGUAUUUAUUCAGUCCAUAAACUCUUCAAAACAGGAAGCAUAAUCUAGAUGCUAAAGAAAGUCGAGUUUUAUUGCUUGGUAUCUUAAAUUAGAACUAGAUGUAACUAUUGUCUAAUUCUGUUAUUCUCGACUGUUGUUUACGAAUGAAUUAUUGAACUGUAUAAAA